AUGCAAGAAAUAGUUUGCGGCUGCUCGGGCGUACCAACAAGAAGUAACACAAGGUCUUGCCGAUGCAGAUGUCCAGCAAUGAUAAGGUUGCUACGCUCAAAGAACAACGGAUGGUACAUAAGCGAGCACAGGGAAUUCCACAACCACUCUCUUACAGAUAAGUGUGGCCAGAAAAUAUAUUGGCCCUCGCAUAGACAUAUCGACAUCUAUACACAAGAUGUUAUCAAGCAGCUUCGUGCAAAUAAUAUUAGCAUUGGCAAAGUCUACAACAUAAUUGGCAGUUUCUUUGGCUCCAUGAGCAGUGUUCCUUUCAGCAAGAGAGCUUUGAGGGGCCUUUGUGGACAGAUAAGCCGGGAUCAGGCAGAUGAUGACGUUAGAAAGACAAUGGAAGUUUUUGCUGAAUUGGGAUCCAAAGAUUCUGGGUUGUACUACAGAGUACAACCAGAUACGGACGGUCACAUACGAAAUCUGUUACGGUCGACAGGCGCAAGCAGGGCACAGUACCAUUAUUUUGGAGAUGCGAUAACUUUUGAUACGACAUACCGUACAAACAUGUAUGAUAUGCCAUUUGGGUUGUUUGUUGGGGUCAACAGUCAUUUCCAAAGUGUCAUAUUCGGAGGAGUUUUAGUCAGAGAUGAGACAAUGGAAACAUUUGAACGGGUGUUCAUUAAGUUUAUCUGUAUGAUGGGCGGCAAGCAAGCAUCCUCAAACCAUACUAACAGACCAGUGCAGAGCUAUGGAAAUAGCAAUAGAGAAAGUGAUGCCCAACACAACACAUCGCUAGUGUAA
rnacentral:rRNA from 1 species